rnacentral:rRNA from 1 species
AACGAACGCUGGCGGCAGGUCUUAGGCAUGCAAGUCGAACGGAUGUAGCAAUACAUCAGUGGCGCACGAGUGAGUAACGCGUGGGAAGCUGCCCUUCACUGGGGAAUAACGUUUGGAAACGAACGCUAAUACCGCAUACGCCCGCAAGGGGAAAGAUUUAUCGGUGAAGGAUGCGCCCGCGUUGGAUUAGCUUGUUGGUGGGGUAACGGCCUACCAAGGCGAUGAUCCAUAGCUGGUCUGAGAGGACGAUCAGCCACGCUGGAACUGAGACACGGUUCAGACUCCUACGGGAGGCAGCAGCUAAGAAUAUUGGACAAUGGGGGAAACCCUGAUCCAGCCAUGCCGCGUGAAUGAAGAAGGCCUUCGGGUUGUAAGUUCUUUUAGUCGUGAAGAUGAUGACAGUAGCGACAGAAAAGACAACCGGCUAACUUCGUGCCAGCAGCCGCGGUAAAGUACUCUAU